rnacentral:rRNA from 1 species
GAUGAACGCUAGCGGCAGGCUUAACACAUGCAAGUCGAGGGGCAGCAUGAACAUAGCUUGCUAUGUUUGAUGGCGACCGGCGCACGGGUGCGUAACACGUAUCCAAUCUGCCCGUCACUCGGGGAUAGCCUUCUGAAAGGAAGAUUAAUACCCGAUGGCAUGUAUUUCCGGCAUCGGAGAUACAUUAAAGAUUUUAUCGGUAACGGAUGAGGAUGCGUACGAUUAGCUAGUUGGCGGGGUAACGGCCCACCAAGGCUACGAUCGUUAGGGGUUCUGAGAGGAAGGUCCCCCACACUGGAACUGAGACACGGUCCAGACUCCUACGGGAGGCAGCAGUGAGGAAUAUUGGUCAAUGGGCGAGAGCCUGAACCAGCCAAGUAGCGUGAAGGAUGACUGCCCUACGGGUUGUAAACUUCUUUUGUUUGGGAAUAAUGAUACUACGUGUAGCGUUGUGCAUGUACCUUACGAAUAAGCAUCGGCUAAUUCCGUGCCAG